rnacentral:rRNA from 1 species
UACGUAGGGGGCUAGCGUUAUCCGGAAUUACUGGGCGUAAAGGGUGCGUAGGUGGUUUCUUAAGUCAGAGGUGAAAGGCUACGGCUCAACCGUAGUAAGCCUUUGAAUCUGGGGAACUUGAGUGCAGGAGAGGAGAGUGGAAUUCCUAGUGUAGCGGUGAAAUGCGUAGAUAUUAGGAGGAACACCAGUUGCGAAGGCGGCUCUCUGGACUGUAACUGACACUGAGGCACGAAAGCGUGGAGAGCAAACAGG